CCCGCCUGCAGCGGCCCCGCUACCCAGCCAGCCCCCGGGCAGCUUCCACGUCUCCGGGCUCUGGAGCACUGAGCUCACCCGGAAAGGAAGUGCAGGCAAUGGGGAGGAAGUGCCUGACUACAGACAGUAACAGGAUGCAGCUACAGCAGCAUGACUGUUUUUCAUCUGAAAGACAGCCAGGUAGCCCCAGAAGAAUUAAUCACCAGAAGAAACUUUGUAUGAGAAAAAAGAAAGAUAAUGUGGAAUGGCUUUGUAUAGGCUGGGACAUUGCCUCACGUGGAUCCUGCAUUUGGCAGUUUGUCCAUCAAAUUUUCAGCUCUGAAUGAGGCAAAGAUUUGGGCACUCUGCCAUCCAGAGGUCACAGUACUGUGACCUCUGAAUGUACCAGUUUUGACAAAAUUUUCAUUAGAAAAGGGUUCUCAGGUGCAGGAUGAAAUUUCUGCUAAAAAAACAGUACUCUGAAACCCACGUACUCUGUAAUAGCCAUAGCCUAGUUAUUAGCCUGUUCUGAAUUGGGUAUAGCAGGGACUUGAACCUAGAGCUCCCACAUCCCAGAGGAGUCCCAUAGUUACUGGAUUAUUGGCAAAUUUAUUACUAGGCAAAAAGACAUCAAACAUAUGCUAUUACUUUAUAUUCCCUGUGCAGCAAAUUGAUUACUACACAAACAUAAUGGCUGGUCUUUUUCACUGCUCUUUCACACUGGAGGAAUGCAAGAGGGUAAGCCAGGACAUUAAGUGGCUUCUCUUGUAACAUGAAACUCAGAUAUAGCAUGCAUAUGAGCAAAGCAUUUGCGUAUGGCUCAUCAUGAAUAAUCCUGCAAAGAUGAUCAUACUUCAUUAUUGAUGGAAAGAUGAUACGGCUCCUCAGUCAUACUGAAACAGCUCUCCUAAUGGCUUGCAUUAUUUCAUACAUAAGGCAUCCAGACUAUGUGGCUAGCAGACAGCUCUGCCUUAUUAGGAUGAGACUACCUUUUCCUGUGAGAGACUGAUAGAUAGUUAGCAAACUAAACCAAAUCUCACUUUUUUUCUACCAAAUUGGUUAUACAGUUACAGUAUAAACUGUAAUCUGCUUCCAGUAAGAUAUAGGCUGCCAUUUCUUUAGGUAUAAUUGUUUUCCUUCCAUCUCAACUCCAGUUCGUUGCCAUCUAUGGAUGAAUAGUUACAGUGUUGACAUUAUUUAGGUCUGCUUGAGCCUCCUCUUCACUAGAGAGAGGUUCUCCUUGAGUCUUUUCUUCACUAUCUGUUCUUCCAUAAGAAGAACAAACUCUUUAUCAGUGGGGUC